CAGCAGUCGAGAAUAAUUCACAAUGGGGGCAACCCUGAUGGUGCAACGCCGCGUGGAGGAUGACGGUCUUCGGAUUGUAAACUCCUGUCAUCUGGGAGUAAGACCUGGUCGCUAAUAGCGGACAGGGUUGAUAGUACCAGAAGAGGAAGGGACGGCUAACUUCGUGCCAGCAGCCGCGGAAAUACGAAGGUCCCGAGCGUUGUUCGGGAUCACUGGGCGUAAAGGGAGCGUAGGCGGCGUGGUAAGUCAGAUGUGAAAUCCCGGGGCUCAACCCCGGAACUGCAUCCGAUACUGCCGUGCUAGAGGAUUGGAGAGGUAGCUGGAAUUCUUGGUGUAGCAGUGAGAUGCGUAGAGAUCAAGAGGAACACUCGUGGCGAAAGCGAGCUACUGGACAACUCCUGACGCUGAGGCUCGAAGGCCAGGGUAGCGAAAGGGAUUAGAUACCCCUGUAGUCCUGGCAGUAAACGGUGCACGCUUGGUGUGAGGGGAAUCGACCCCCCUUGUGCCGGAGCAAACGCGUUAAGCGUGCCGCCUGGGAAGUACGGUCGCAAGACUAAAACUCAAAGAAAUUGACGGGGACCCGCACAAGCGGUGGAGUAUGUGGCUUAAUUCGAUGCAACGCGAAGAACCUUACCAAGGCUUGACAUGGAUUUCUAAGCACGUGAAAGCGUGUGACCCUUCGGGGAACUUCCACAGGUGCUGCAUGGCCGUCGUCAGCUCGUGUCGUGAGAUGUUGGGUUAAGUCCCGCAACGAGCGCAACCCUUGUGAUUAGUUGCCAGCACGUUAUGGUGGGAACUCUAAUCAGACUGCCCAGAUCAACUGGGAGGAAGGUGGGGACGACGUCAGGUCAGUAUGGCCCUUACGCCUUGGGCUGCACACGUACUACAAUGCCCAGCACAAUGAGAACCGAUACCGCGAGGUGGAGGAAAUCUAUAAAACUGGGCUCAGUUCGGAUUGGAGGCUGCAACUCGCCUCCAUGAAGUUGGAACCGCUAGCAAUGGCACGUCAUCUACGGUGCCGUGAAUACGUUCCCGGGCCUUGUACACACGCC
rnacentral:rRNA from 1 species